AGUGUAGCGUCCCUAUUUUCCAGGGAUGUCCCUGAUUUAGAGAAGCUGUUUCCCGGAUUCUGAAUGUCCCUCUUUCCGUAUUUUCAUUGGAGAAAUGUUGGAGGACCUUCGGGAGGAAUGGCUUCCAAGCAAGGACAGCUAUCAGAAGACAGCCUGGUCCUGAUGUGGGCAGCAUGGGAACUUUUUUAAGCAAAACAAACAAGAUGGGCAGGCUUGGGGAAUGGAAAACUCUGGCCCUUUCCAUAAAGUCCAGUAAGCUGCCGUACUGUGGGACUGAGGUAAGGAAGAGAAGCAGUGAAGAUACAAUGGGGUGGACCUGCACUUUUAAGACGGGCCUGCUUUUCCAAGACAUCAAUCCAAUGCUGGCUAAAUUCCACAGGGAGAGAGAUCUUAAUGGGCUUGAGUGAGCAGGAAAUUAGACAGAAAGGGAGAUUGGAGCCAGCAGAACUUAGAGCAAGCGAAGAGCAACAGCCACAAAAACCUGCUGGAGUAGCAACGAACAAAGGACUGGCCUGUUCCCAAUCAUGAUAGAAGCCAGCCCUGGAUGCAUGAACCUUUUCAACUACUGUAGGAAUACGGACCCCUGUCUCUCUUUCCCCCGUCCCCUAGAUAAACAUUUUAUCCAGCGGUACCAAUUAUGCACCCCAGAAAUGCUUCUUUCAAAGAAACGCCCAUUGUUUGAAACCCGCUAAAACGUUUACACAGCUUCUACAAUAUGUCCAGGCUUUGCAGUUGUGCAGAAUGCAGUUGUGAAGGAGAGGAAGUUUCUGAUUUAGAGAGCAGCCAUUGGGAAUGUCUAUCAAUACGUGUCUUUGAAAUGGGGUAUUUGAAGUAAAACCUAUUUUAGACGGAAAGGAAGAGUAUCAACAUGUGUUUACAUCAAUAGGAAAUAGCAAAGGAGUGUCAUAGAGCUUUAUGCUGAUGACAACGUAGUGUGUGCACACUCGUAGGAUGACCUCCAGACCAUCCUAAAUAUCUUCAAAGAAGCUUACGGAAAGCUUGGCCUAUUGCUGGUAGAGUAUGUGGAACUGGCGAAGUUGACGGAGAAAAUUAGGAAUCGACCCGACGAAAGAUUUCAAGGAGACUGGAGCAAAUUUAUAAAUUAUUCAAAAGAAAGUUGUAAACACCUAAAACGUUUGUAGCAUUAACGUGAAAUGUUUUGUAAUGUGGAAAGAAGGAGCUAAUUUACAAAUGAAAGGGUGAUUGUUAAAUGAAUAUAUAUGGUAAAGAAGUGAUUAUAGAAAUGUAAUAAAUAUGUUAAAAUAGUAGGAAAGUGAGAAAGAGUGACGGAAGGAAGUCGUUACUUGUUUGGAGUAGUGAUGUAAGCUUGAGAUAUGUAUGAUAUGUAUGAUAAAAUGAAAUGAAAUAUGGAAAACUCAAUAAAAAUCAUGAUUAAAAAAAAGAAAGCUUGGCCUAUUGCUCAGUAUCCAAAAAACCAAUGUGCUGCAUCAACAAACACAAAACAACC